rnacentral:lncRNA from 1 species
GUGUUUUCUGCUUUCACACUGACCAACAGUUACUUCAGUCUCUGCGAGAAGACUGCUGCUGAUUUUAAACAUUAUUUAUAUUCUUUGUGUCUUAUCCGUUUUACUAAACACAGCAGCUGCAACAAGUUAAUUCAAUACAGUCAACUUUCUGAUGAGAAGCUGAAGACUACGACAGCCAUGUUGUUGGCAGAAGCUGGAUGUGUGUUUAUGGGUUUCAUGCUGUGUUUCUCAGGGGUUCAAGGAAGAGCAAACAGCAUCUGUGCUUUAAAAGGUUCAUCAGUGGAUCUGCCCUGCUCAGCUGAACAUCCACCUACAACCAUGAAAUGGUACAAAGUACAGCCAAUUGGAUCUACAUUUAAUCUGAAGAACCUCCCUGCAGAUGACAGCCAUGUUAAGUACAUGUUGGGAGAGAACAACUUCAAUCUAACAAUCAAAGAUCUGACAGAGAGAGAUGCAAAACUUUACUGCUGCAGCAGCAAAGAGGAUGCAGGAACAUCCAGACAGAGUGAGCAAGGCAUGAUUGAGCUCCAUGUUGCAGGUAUGGUGACUGUCAGUAAUGAAUUACUUUAAGUCUGAUAUAAAUAUAUGAAUUCUUACUUUUCUUCCUCAUCAUCUCAGACCUGCAGGUGAAGGUGAUUCCCUCCACAGAGGGACACACAGUAACACUGAUGUGCAGCAGCAGCUGUCCUCUGACUGAAAACCCUGCAGCCUACAUCUGGUACAAGAACAGAGAGUUUCUCUAUGAGGACUGGUCUCCCUGGUACCAACAGCUGGUCAGCAGUGAGGAAGCAGUCACAUACUCCUGUGCUAUCAAAGGCUACGAGGAUCUCAGAGCCCCUCAAGUCUCAGUGGGUGAGUGACAACCAGUAACUCCUUACCAUGUUACCAAAACUAAACUGACCAAAUGUGUUAAUAAGAAAUAUUCCUGCACCAGAAACUUAAACUAUAACAUUUAUGACACAUGAUGAAAAGUCAACUAAAUUCACUAAAAACUGACACAAUUUCUUUUUGUCCAGAUUCUGUCACAUCAGCCUGCUUCAGUGUGACCUAUGCUAAAGGGAGAAUGUGUUCUUAUAAGCAGACAUCAGAGGAUGAGCCCUGCUCCAUCACAUAUCCAACAGAAGUGCAUGUUCAAAACACUCCUGCAGCUGCACCAUUCCAUGUCAGACUGACCUGUAACACCAACUGUCCUCAGACUGAUCUUCAGACUGCCUUGAGAGUGUACAAGAGCAGUAACUCAGAGGGACAGAAUGAGGUAAUAAAGAAUGUAGUUCCCAUCUCAUCUCCUGAAAGCUUCUCCUGUGCCGUAAAAGGCCUCAAACAUCUACACUCUGCUGCAGUCUGUGCUGAGGAUAAGAACUGUUGGAGUGUGAAUUAUGUCAGCAGGAGAAUCUGUGCUGCUCACGGCUCCUCAGUGGACAUUUCAAGUGAAUAUUCUCAUCCUGACAACCAGCAGCCCCAGUCUAAAUUAUGGUAUAAAAUAAUCAGAAGUGGUAAGAAGGAUCCUGAAAAGCUGAGUGAGGUUGCAGGUCGCGUUGAGUACCAUGGAAACAUGAACAAUCAUCACACCCUGUCAAUUAAAGACCUGACGAGGAAUGACUCAGCAGAAUACAAAUUCAAGAUCCAGACACAAGACGGAUGGAAACAGUCAGAUUUUUCUGGAGUGACGUUGGUUGUAACAGGUCUUAAAGUGACGUUCACUCCCUCUGCAGUGGUGACAGAGGGUCAGAGAGUCACACUGACCUGCAACACCAGCUGUCCUCUGAACACAGACUACAUCUGGACCUUCAACAGUCGACCUCUGAACCUGCCAGAGAGCCAAAACAAACACCUGGUUCUAGACCCAGUCAGCAGUCAGCAUGAAGGAAGGUACUCCUGUAUGGUCAAAACUGGCAGAAGAACCAUUGGCUCAAGUGAAAAAACUCUGACUGUCCAAAAUGUUGAACAGGAACAAACAUCAGCAGCAGCUGCAGGAGUGUGUGCUGCUCUCCUGGUUUUAAUACUUCUCGCUGUCUUUUGCUGGAUUAGAAAAAAGAAGACACCCAGCCAAUCUCCACGGAGUGAAACCUCAAACAACUUGGAGCAGUUAAACCCUGGUCCUGUGUAUGACGAAAUCUCAGCUCAACCAACAGAGCAGGAUGAUCUUCACUACAGCAGUGUCCACUUCCAUCAGAAACACACAGAUGCUGUCUACAGCACCCUCCAGCCACAUCAGGCCCGAGAACAAGAGCACGUCCCCUAUGCUGUUGUCCACUUUAAAUCCAACAAAGCCCCCUGA